rnacentral:tRNA from 1 species
GGCUGACUAGCUCAGUUGGAUAGAGCAUCAUGCUAAUAAUGUGAAGGUCUUGGGUUCAAUCCCCACAUCGACCA